AGCGGCAAACCCCUCGUCCUAUGUUGCCAGCGGGCGUGCCGGGGGACUCAUAGGAGACUGCCGGGGGUCAACUCGGAGGAAGGUGGGGAUGACGUCAAAUCAUCAUGCCCCUUAUGUCUUGGGCUUCACGCAUGCUACAAUGGCCAGUACAAAGGGCUGCGAGACCGUGAGGUGGAGCGAAUCCCGAAAAGCUGGUCUCAGUUCGGAUUGGGGUCUGCAACUCGACCCCAUGAAGUCGGAGUCGCUAGUAAUCGCAGAUCAGCAACGCUGCGGUGAAUACGUUCCCGGGGCUU
rnacentral:rRNA from 1 species